rnacentral:misc_RNA from 1 species
GUAUUUCAUUGCGUUUUUAAGGCAAAAUAUUUACAUUCUAUGAUCAGAGUAUAUGAUAAUACAUAAGCCCGAGGGCCUACGGUGGGUUCACAGGUGUGUUGUGGAUUUGGGCGUGCACGCGCCCCGAGAGGCCAGCGACAACCCUCGCCCGUAAUUCAAUAAUGAUCCUUCCGCAGGUUCACCUACGGAAA